rnacentral:misc_RNA from 1 species
AACGCACGAGACCUGCGGACCUGCGGAGGGAUCAUUAUCGAGAUAUCUUGCUUUCUAGCGGAUCUCCUAUCUCCUGUUAUUGGUACCGUCGUUGCUUUGGCAGUUGCAGGCGGUCUCAUAUCGUUUGUCCUGCUAGAGGCUCCCUAGCCCCUUUAGUAUUAUGUUGUCCGAUUGGCUGCGUAAUUUAUAAAAAAAACUUUCAACAAUGGAUCUCU